rnacentral:rRNA from 1 species
GGUGGUUUAGUGGCGACGGGUGAGUAACACGUGAGUAACCUGCCCCUGACUCUGGGAUAAGCGUUGGAAACGACGUCUAAUACUGGAUAUGACUGCCGGCCGCAUGGUCUGGUGGUGGAAAGAUUUUUUGGUUGGGGAUGGACUCGCGGCCUAUCAGCUUGUUGGUGAGGUAAUGGCUCACCAAGGCGACGACGGGUAGCCGGCCUGAGAGGGUGACCGGCCACACUGGGACUGAGACACGGCCCAGACUCCUACGGGAGGCAGCAGUGGGGAAUAUUGCACAAUGGGCGAAAGCCUGAUGCAGCAACGCCGCGUGAGGGAUGACGGCCUUCGGGUUGUAAACCUCUUUUAGUAGGGAAGAAGCGAAAGUGACGGUACCUGCAGAAAAAGCACCGGCUAACUACGUGCCAGCAGCCGCGGUAAUACGUAGGGUGCAAGCGUUGUCCGGAAUUAUUGGGCGUAAAGAGCUCGUAGGCGGUUUGUCGCGUCUGCUGUGAAAUCCCGAGGCUCAACCUCGGGCUUGCAGUGGGUACGGGCAGACUAGAGUGCGGUAGGGGAGAUUGGAAUUCCUGGUGUAGCGGUGGAAUGCGCAGAUAUCAGGAGGAACACCGAUGGCGAAGGCAGAUCUCUGGGCCGUAACUGACGCUGAGGAGCGAAAGCAUGGGGAGCGAACAGGAUUAGAUACCCUGGUAGUCCAUGCCGUAAACGUUGGGCGCUAGAUGUAGGGACCUUUCCACGGUUUCUGUGUCGUAGCUAACGCAUUAAGCGCCCCGCCUGGGGAGUACGGCCGCAAGGCUAAAACUCAAAGGAAUUGACGGGGGCCCGCACAAGCGGCGGAGCAUGCGGAUUAAUUCGAUGCAACGCGAAGAACCUUACCAAGGCUUGACAUACACCGGAAACGGCCAGAGAUGGUCGCCCCCUUGUGGUCGGUGUACAGGUGGUGCAUGGUUGUCGUCAGCUCGUGUCGUGAGAUGUUGGGUUAAGUCCCGCAACGAGCGCAACCCUCGUU